rnacentral:rRNA from 1 species
UGACCGCUGGCGGCAUGCCUUCCACAUGCAAGUCGACCGGUAACAGGUCUUCGAAUGCUGACGAGUGGCGAACGGGUGAGUAAUACAUCGGAACGUGCCCGAUCGUGGGGGAUAACGAGGCGAAAGCUUUGCUAAUACCGCAUACGAUCUACGGAUGAAAGCGGGGGAUCUUCGGACCUCGCGCGGACGGAGCGGCCGAUGGCAGAUUAGGUAGUUGGUGGGAUAAAAGCUUACCAAGCCGACGAUCUGUAGCUGGUCUGAGAGGAUGAUCAGCCACACUGGGACUGAGACACGGCCCAGACUCCUACGGGAGGCAGCAGUGGGGAAUUUUGGACAAUGGGCGAAAGCCUGAUCCAGCCAUGCCGCGUGCAGGAUGAAGGCCUUCGGGUUGUAAACUGCUUUUGUACGGAACGAAAAGCCUCUUUCUAAUAAAGAGGGGUCAUGACGGUACCGUAAGAAUAAGCACCGGCUAACUACGUG